AAGAGGACAUUCUGUGGAGCAGUAGGUGCCAAUCUGUCGCUCUGUGGAGAUGGGCCAGAAUCAGCUCAUGUUAAGCUGCUGCCGCUCCUCCUGCAGCCUCCUCCAUCUAUCUGAUAGGUGGAAUGAUUAAUUUCUACGCACAGUCAUUGAUGUUCACAGGAUAUUCCAUAGCUUGCUUUGCAUAACAACAUGAUGGACUCCGUGGAAAAAAACACACUCUGUGUACGGAUAUAAGAAAAAAGGUGAAAAGGCCUGUCAUGAAAAGUACUCCCAGAACACACCCCUUUAACAUCAUCCGUGCUUCCUCCCUUCAGUCAGACGUGAAAUGUUUCCAGUAACUCAACGACUCUGAGAGGCAGCAGGUGCUUGACAGGAAUCAAAUCGGUCCCCGUAAUCACAGCACUCUAAUUGAUGGCUCAUUUUCCACAGUGGUGGAGAAAUCUAAUUACAGAUCAUCAGAUCAGCAAACAUGGUUGGAGCUCUAAGGCACCAGGAGUGACACGACAGUCAGACCCAAUGCAGCGAAAUUACGGUCAAUCUUACAGCUGUGGUUUUAAGAUGCCUAAUGCAAGAUGAUUUAAAAGUGAAAAAAAUCGAUUUAUUGGUAUUUUCUUUUUUAAA